UACGAGUGCCUCAAGCGUUAUCCGGAAUCAUUGGGCGUAAAGGGUGUGUAGGCGGUUUUAUUAGUCUCGCGUUAAAUCUUUCGGCUCAACCGAGAGGCUGCGUGGGAAACGGUAAGACUUAGAGGACGGGAGAGGUCUCUGGAACUCAUGGUGUAGCGGUGAAAUGCGUUGAUAUCAUGGGGAACACCAAAAGCGAAGGCAAGAGACUGGCCCGCUCCUGACGCUGAAACACGAAAGCGUGGGUCGCGAAUGGG
rnacentral:rRNA from 1 species